CUACAGGCAGGAUGAGAGAAUCAAAAAACGUGCUGCAAAGGCUGUGCUCCUGCGGGACCGACCGUGCCGCGCCCGCUGCGGCUCCUCGGGCCCCGCCUCUGGGGCGUGCAGGGCCCCGAGGGGACGAGACACCGCCCGGCCUCCCGCUCGGCGACCAGGAGAGAGGGCAGCCGUGUCACCGUGUUUCCCAAGGAGCCAACAGUGGAGGCUGCCAGAGAGGAAAGUGGCUUUCCUGUGUUGACUACCAGUGGACAUCUGCUUUCUGCCUGGCACAUGAUUAUUGGAUGGAUGACCUCACUCAGACGAGCUUCCUGAGGCCGAGGGUUCCCUGCCCUGCCGAGGCCACAUGGACAGAAGGUGAUGGCAGAGACUGGGCCACGUGUCUGCUGGACGCAACACCCCCGCUCUGGCCGUGCAGCAGAAGGAGCCCUUCCUCCGGCAGUGUGGUCAUGCAAUGGCCUGUGGGUGGCUUGAGUCCCAACACUGUCCAUGCGUCCUUCAGCUACAGGGAGAGGCAGACAAGUAUAAGAUUGGGAUGAGCAGGGAUCCUUUGGGUGCGGCUUUGUGAAUCUGCUCAAUCAAUCAACACAUACAGGCAACCUCUGACUUGUGAACACAGGCCUAGGGCAGCCUGGACACGAGGAUUGCUGCGUUGGCUGAUUUGGGGCAGAGUUGCUCCCACUGCCUUUACUAAAAUUGCCACUGAAACUCCAGACGCUAAAGCACCCCCACCCCUCCCCCCUUUGUUUUCCUGGAACUCUUCUUGACCACAAUUCUAAUGUCAGUUUGUUUUCUUGGAUUGUUUCUCUUUUUCC
rnacentral:lncRNA from 1 species